CCAGCAGCCGCGGUAAUUCCAGCACCAAUAGCGUAUAUUAAUGCUGCUGCUGUUAAAAAGCUCGUAGUUGGAUCAAGAGUUGGACAGUGCACGGUGGCCCUGUUUGUCAUAGUGGUUCCGAUCACUGUGACGGCAGCGGAUCAACCCCGUGCGCCAAACUGUCCACUCUAACAGACCGAAACGGUUCCCUGUGAGUAGGCUCCUUAAUUGGGGCUGAAAGCGCUUACGCAUCAACCAUAUGCAUACGGGACGUCGGUCAAUGUUACUGUGAACAAACCAGCGUGUCCAAAACAGGCUUUCGCCUGAAUGUUCAAGCAUGGAAUAACAAGGGAUCGAUUCUCUCGGUUCUUUUUGUUGGUUUUUAACCCGAGAAGGAGUAAUUCAGUCCACGGUGUCUGAGUUGGGUUUCCCUUCACCUCGGUGGAGGCCCCAAUUAGGCCGUGUACUUACGGGAUAAAUAGGGACUGACGGGGUCGUACGUACUUCCACGUCAGAGGUGAAAUUCUUAGAUCGUGGGAAGACGAACUUCUGCGAAAGCAUUCGACAAGAAUGUCUUCAUUAAUCAAGAACGAGAGUGUGGGGAUCGAAGAUGAUCAGAUACCGUCGUAGUCCACUACUGUAAACAAUGCCGUCUCAGGAUUGAGAAGUGAACAGAAUGACUUUCACAGCACUAACCCCUGAAACGAGAAAUCAAAGAUUAUGGGUUCAGGGGGGAGUACAUUCGCAAGGCUGAAACUUAAAGGAAUUGACGGAAUGACACCACAAGGCGUGGAGUAUGCGGCUUAAUUUGACUCAACACGGGGAAUUUUACUAGGUCAGGACAAUGUAAGGAUUGACAGAUUGAGAGCUCUUUCUCGAUCCAUUGUGUGGUGGUGCAUGGCCGCUCCUGGUUGGUGGAGUGAUUUGUCUGGUUGAUUCCGUUAACGAACGAGAUCUCGACCCUUAAAUAGGUGCCCAUGUCGAUUGUAGUUUCGCCUCUGCUCGCUUGCGAGAUUGGAGCGGGACGAGACUGUGGGAAUACUUCUUAGGGGGACUGUGUGCGUCUCUAGCACGCGGAAGAGCGAGCCAAUAGCAGGUCUGU
rnacentral:rRNA from 1 species